GACGAACGCUGGCGGCGUGCUUAACACAUGCAAGUCGAACGGAAAGGCCCUGCUUUUGUGGGGUGCUCGAGUGGCGAACGGGUGAGUAACACGUGAGUAACCUGCCCUUGACUUUGGGAUAACUUCAGGAAACUGGGGCUAAUACCGGAUAGGAGCUCCUGCUGCAUGGGGGGGGUUGGAAAGUUUCGGCGGUUGGGGAUGGACUCGCGGGUUAUCAGCUUGUUGGUGGGGUAGUGGCUUACCAAGGCUUUGACGGGUAGCCGGCCUGAGAGGGUGACCGGCCACAUUGGGACUGAGGUACGGCCCAGACUCCUACGGGAGGCAGCAGUGGGGAAUAUUGCACAAUGGGCGGAAGCCUAAUGCAGCAACGCCGCGUGCGGGAUGACGGCCUUCGGGUUGUAAACCGCUUUCGCCUGUGACGAAGCGUGAGUGACGGUAAUGGGUAAAGAAGCACCGGCUAACUACGUG
rnacentral:rRNA from 1 species